CAGUAUGUAAGGUCAAGUGUUAGCAAAUUGAAGAUCGUGCUUCGCAUAAGGCCGGAGGCGAGCCAACCAAUGUCCAAGUGUGAGAAGACAUAAAAGGCAUAGGCCGUACUCCGCACAGGGUUUUGCAACCUCUACAGCUUUCCUGCGAAGCUCAUUCAUGUGAGGGCAAAGGCAGAGCUUCAGUAGGAGCUUCUUGUUCUGACAAGAACCAAUGGCCGCAAGUGUCUAAAAUAGCAAAUUAUUGUUUACGAAAACGGGACUUAAUAGGGUAAGUUUUAAAAUUACCACUGACCCGACGUUUCAAAAACGGCGUUUUCCCCAUGGUCUCGGAGAAGACUGUGUAAAGUCGACAUCAUUAUCUUGACGUUGGAGGUAAUUUUAGAACUUAAUCAAACGCGAUUAAGUCCCGUUUUCUUAAAUAAUAAUGUGUCACAAUUAGGCCCAUAAAAUUAGAUUUUUUCGAAUUUGGUCCUAAAAAUGCGUGUAAUCCGAGUUUGCUCCAUUCCAGGAGGUAUGCAUAAAUGUUUCCUCUUUUUCAGUUUUUUUUGCUUGAAAAUCGAAAAUGGUACGUCCGGCGGAAAAUUUGUUCUAAUUAUGAUUAAAACUGAUAUCUGAGGAUCCAAAAUGUAAUUUAAUUAUGUUCUUGCAAUAAAACAUAUUGAUUUAUUGAAGGUACCCUAAUAUGUAUUCCUAGUCUAAAUUGUAUAAAAAGGUCGACAUUUUUUUAUUUUUGGUAAAAUCAUGUUAAAAAUCCAAAAACGCCUUCUUACCAGUGUAUAAUCCACGAACUGUCCUAUGUCCUUCAAAAUCAAGUGGUUUCGAAAGGAAAAAAAUAUCUCCAAAGGAUCCCAAAAUGUAUGCAUACCCCCCGGGAUGGAGCAAACUUGGAUUACACGCAUUUAGAAUGAAAUGAAAGUAUCAAAACAUUUUCCAGCUUUCUGGGAAUUAGUUCCUCAAAACGCUAUUUUUGGAUCUAAUUUGAUUGGCCUAAAUCGUGAAAGUUUAAAUCAGUGUUUUUAAAGACAAAGUCUAAGGCUGAGCUUUUCAUAAGGCUGAACGCGCGGAGCGUUCGAUCGGCGCUUACGGAUGAGGCAUGGAUGAGGCCAAAGGUCGAGAUGGAAGAAAGCAUUUGAAUUUGACCACUGGCGAGGUAUGAAUGGCUGAACGUCCAGAGCGUCCGAUCGCGGUGGGUUAUCAUACAAUACAACUGAUGGCGAGGUGUGAGCAAGGCAGAAGGCCCAGCUUCGAGAGAGGACAGCUUAGAUUUGGAUCCAUGUUAAGUGAAAGUAAGGCAGUUUGCACAAAGUAGAAGGCCUAGCGUCGCAUAAGACCUAACGCCGAACUGCAAUAGAGUGGCUUGAAAUCGAACCUAUGUAAUCACGGUUCUCCUACUGCUCGGCCUUUGGCUUAAGUGGAAACCGAAACUUAAUAAGUUGCUUUUGGUUUUGUGCUUUCGCGGGGCCCUUUAUAACAGUUUGACAAUUAGGUCGCAGGAUCGUGGUUCUGCAGCAACUCGGCCAGGCCGACACAUCUGGCGUGCAAGAGAACAAAAUUCGCUACAAAAUCGGUAAUCUACGUCGAGAAAAUCGGUUGGCCACAAGCCCGACGGUCCUAAUAAUACAAUACAAUACAAAUACUAUUUAUUGCACACCUCAAUACAGAAACAGUACAAAUAAUACAACACAUAAAGAAGAGGCAAACAACAGGCGAAGAGACAGGAGAACAAACAACAAAACAGGAAAACAGGAGGAGGAGGAAGGGGUAAAUAAUUUGGCACGUUUAAUGCUAUAGUUGACUCAGGCUUCCAAAAGUAUCUUAAAUGUUUUUUUAUAGGAUAAUAUACCUACAAUUUACACAUACAUUAGUAAUUUUUCCCCCUUCCAAUGAUUAGCUAUUUCAAUCUUAUUUUAAGGCAGUACAGGUUAUUUUCCUACAAAAACUGCAUAUAAAGACCAAUAAUUAUUUAGUUUAACCUAAAAGGUAUUUAUUUGACACUUAAUCAUUGUUGUUGACAUAGAUGGUAUUCGUUAUUGAACAACAUCAAUAUGACAAUAAUGUGCGAAAAGUAUGCCGUAUGUAGGUAUGUAUGCCGACGGAUAGGGGCCAUUCCUGAGAUGCGCGGUCAUCGGCCGCGCUGCGUAUGUAGCUGUCUUAUUAAUAUUUAUUUAUGUAUAAUAUUGUAUAAUUAUAAUUUUUUUUUCCAUUUUACUCUAACUGACCCUGCACCAAGUAGAUCUACGAUUUAGCUCAUAGUUGACUGGUAGAGAAUGCCUUCUGGCAUUAAGUCUACCAUUUGUACUCUUUAUAUAUUGUGCAAUAAAGUUGAAAUAAAUAGAUAUUAACUGUAAUAUUUCAAAAGCCUUCCUUAGUUUAGGACGAGAUCGAUUUACCCCUAGUAUUUUAACUAGAAACUUACAUAAGAAAAUAUAUUGAGAUAUAAAAUCAUAAGGGAUCAAUUACGGAAUUUAGGUAAAAUGUAAUUUGUACAAGUAUUUGGUACUUUUUUUUUACUCAAACAGUAUCCUCGGCAUAAUCCGAUUUGUAUACUUUUUUUUUAUAGAAUCGUACAUUUUACUGCAGCAUUGCGGUGUGAAAGGGAUCUUAACUUAAUCAUCUCAGUAGAUUUUUUACCGAAGAGCAAAUUCCCCAUGUCGGUUUCUAAAUUAUCAAACAUAGUCCUUAACACGGCAAAUGAAUCAUGGAUACCAGCCUCUCAAAUUAACUAGGUAUUAAUAUUAAAUUAUGACCGGCUACGUACAUCCCGGCGACGGCUAGCUGAGGACGAAUGCUAAAAAUUUCAAACUAGGACCCAUUACACCGGGGUAAUGAUGAAUGCCUCUUGAAUUAAACUAAGAGCCAGUAAUAGUAAAGUCUGACCGGCUACGUACGUCCCCGCGUCCGGACUGAGUCACGCGAGGAAUGCCGUCCGGCCGCUCGCCCCGCCCGCGCCGCGGCUAGCUGAGGACCAGUGCCAAAAAGGUCAGCCCGCUAGGACCCACUAGCCAGAAAAAAAGGAUGGGUUUAGACGUCGCUUAGAUACCUAACACCAGUACCUUUAACAUAAGGGUAAGUAAUAUAACGAACUACCAAAUAAUAUUAGCCUAAAUACGGUUUGAAAAAUAUACCAAUGAAUAAUUU